rnacentral:rRNA from 1 species
AGAAUCAACGCUGGCGGCGUGCCUAACACAUGCAAGUCGCACGAGAAAGUGGAGCAAUCCAUGAGUACAGUGGCGCACGGGUGAGUAACACGUGAAUCAUCUACCUCCGAGUGGGGAAUAACCUAGAGAAAUCUGGGCUAAUACCGCAUAACACUUACGAGUCAAAGCAGCAAUGCGCUUGGAGAGGAGUUCGCGGCCGAUUAGCUAGUUGGCGGGGUAAUGGCCACCAAGGCGAUGAUCGGUAUCCGGCCUGAGAGGGCGCACGGACACACUGGAACUGAAACACGGUCCAGACUCCUACGGAGGCAGCAGUGGGGAAUUUUGCGCAAUGGGGGAAACCCUGACGCAGCAACGCCGCGUGGAGGAUGAAAUCCCUUGGGAUGUAAACUCCUUUCGAUAGGGAAGAUAAUGACGGUACCUAUAGAAGAAGCCCGGACUAACUUCGUGCCAGCAGCCGCGGUAA